GGUUAAGCGACUAAGCGUACACGGUGGAUGCCCUGGCAGUCAGAGGCGAUGAAGGACGUGCUAAUCUGCGAAAAGCGUCGGUAAGGUGAUAUGAACCGUUAUAACCGGCGAUGUCCGAAUGGGGAAACCCAGUGCAAUUCGUUGCACUAUCGUUAACUGAAUACAUAGGUUAACGAGGCGAACCGGGGGAACUGAAACAUCUAAGUACCCCGAGGAAAAGAAAUCAACCGAGAUUCCCCCAGUAGCGGCGAGCGAACGGGGAGCAGCCCAGAGUCUGAAUCAGCUUGUGUGUUAGUGGAACGGUCUGGAAAGUCCGACGGUACAGGGUGAUAGUCCCGUACACCAAAAUGCACAGGCUGUGAACUCGAAGAGUAGGGCGGGACACGUGGUAUCCUGUCUGAAUAUGGGGGGACCAUCCUCCAAGGCUAAAUACUCCUGACUGACCGAUAGUGAACCAGUACCGUGAGGGAAAGGCGAAAAGAACCCCGGCGAGGGGAGUGAAAAAGAACCUGAAACCGUGUACGUACAAGCAGUGGGAGCACCUUCGGGUGUGACUGCGUACCUUUUGUAUAAUGGGUCAGCGACUUAUAUUCUGUAGCAAGGUUAACCGUAUAGGGGAGCCGCAGGGAAACCGAGUCUUAACUGGGCGUUAAGUUGCAGGGUAUAGACCCGAAACCCGGUGAUCUAGCCAUGGGCAGGUUGAAGGUUGGGUAACACUAACUGGAGGACCGAACCGACUAAUGUUGAAAAAUUAGCGGAUGACUUGUGGCUGGGGGUGAAAGGCCAAUCAAACCGGGAGAUAGCUGGUUCUCCCCGAAAGCUAUUUAGGUAGCGCCUCGUGAAUUCAUCUUCGGGGGUAGAGCACUGUUUCGGCUAGGGGGUCAUCCCGACUUACCAACCCGAUGCAAACUACGAAUACCGAAGAAUGUUAUCACGGGAGACACACGGCGGGUGCUAACGUCCGUCGUGAAGAGGGAAACAACCCAGACCGCCAGCUAAGGUCCCAAAGUCAUGGUUAAGUGGGAAACGAUGUGGGAAGGCACAGACAGCCAGGAUGUUGGCUUAGAAGCAGCCAUCAUUUAAAGAAAGCGUAAUAGCUCACUGGUCGAGUCGGCCUGCGCGGAAGAUGUAACGGGGCUAAACCAUGCACCGAAGCUGCGGCAGCGACACUAUGUGUUGUUGGGUAGGGGAGCGUUCUGUAAGCCUGCGAAGGUGACCUGUGAGGGUUGCUGGAGGUAUCAGAAGUGCGAAUGCUGACAUAAGUAACGAUAAAGCGGGUGAAAAGCCCGCUCGCCGGAAGACCAAGGGUUCCUGUCCAACGUUAAUCGGGGCAGGGUGAGUCGACCCCUAAGGCGAGGCCGAAAGGCGUAGUCGAUGGGAAACAGGUUAAUAUUCCUGUACUUGGUGUUACUGCGAAGGGGGGACGGAGAAGGCUAUGUUAGCCGGGCGACGGUUGUCCCGGUUUAAGCAUGUAGGCUGGUUGUCCAGGCAAAUCCGGAUAAUCAAGGCUGAGGUGUGAUGACGAGGCACUACGGUGCUGAAGUAACAAAUGCCCUGCUUCCAGGAAAAGCCUCUAAGCAUCAGGUAACAUCAAAUCGUACCCCAAACCGACACAGGUGGUCAGGUAGAGAAUACCAAGGCGCUUGAGAGAACUCGGGUGAAGGAACUAGGCAAAAUGGUGCCGUAACUUCGGGAGAAGGCACGCUGGUGUGUAGGUGAAGCCCCUGCGGGUGGAGCUGAGACCAGUCGAAGAUACCAGCUGGCUGCAACUGUUUAUUAAAAACACAGCACUGUGCAAACACGAAAGUGGACGUAUACGGUGUGACGCCUGCCCGGUGCCGGAAGGUUAAUUGAUGGGGUUAUCCGUAAGGAGAAGCUCUUGAUCGAAGCCCCGGUAAACGGCGGCCGUAACUAUAACGGUCCUAAGGUAGCGAAAUUCCUUGUCGGGUAAGUUCCGACCUGCACGAAUGGCGUAAUGAUGGCCAGGCUGUCUCCACCCGAGACUCAGUGAAAUUGAACUCGCUGUGAAGAUGCAGUGUACCCGCGGCAAGACGGAAAGACCCCGUGAACCUUUACUAUAGCUUGACACUGAACAUUGAGCCUUGAUGUGUAGGAUAGGUGGGAGGCUUUGAAGCGUGGACGCCAGUCUGCGUGGAGCCAACCUUGAAAUACCACCCUUUAAUGUUUGAUGUUCUAACGUUGGCCCCUUAUCGGGGUUGCGGACAGUGUCUGGUGGGUAGUUUGACUGGGGCGGUCUCCUCCCAAAGCGUAACGGAGGAGCACGAAGGUUAGCUAAUCCUGGUCGGACAUCAGGAGGUUAGUGCAAUGGCAUAAGCUAGCUUGACUGCGAGCGUGACGGCGCGAGCAGGUGCGAAAGCAGGUCAUAGUGAUCCGGUGGUUCUGAAUGGAAGGGCCAUCGCUCAACGGAUAAAAGGUACUCCGGGGAUAACAGGCUGAUACCGCCCAAGAGUUCAUAUCGACGGCGGUGUUUGGCACCUCGAUGUCGGCUCAUCACAUCCUGGGGCUGAAGUAGGUCCCAAGGGUAUGGCUGUUCGCCAUUUAAAGUGGUACGCGAGCUGGGUUUAGAACGUCGUGAGACAGUUCGGUCCCUAUCUGCCGUGGGCGCUGGAGAAUUGAGGGGGGCUGCUCCUAGUACGAGAGGACCGGAGUGGACGCAUCACUGGUGUUCGGGUUGUCAUGCCAAUGGCACUGCCCGGUAGCUAAAUGCGGAAGAGAUAAGUGCUGAAAGCAUCUAAGCACGAAACUUGCCCCGAGAUGAGUUCUCCCUGAGACUUUAAGUCUCCUGAAGGAACGUUAAAGACGAUGACGUUGAUAGGCCGGGUGUGUAAGCGCAGCGAUGCGUUGAGCUAACCGGUACUAAUGAACCGUGAGGCUUAACCUU
rnacentral:rRNA from 1 species